UCUAGAACUCAAUGUGGAAUAAUAAAAUAUAAAGAGAAAACUAUAUUUGUGCCUAGGGGAAAGUCCCCGGACCUUGGGCAGAGAGUGCCGCGUGCGCCUGCACGUCGACUGCCCUCGCUUUAAAUAAAUA
rnacentral:sRNA from 1 species